GCGUCUCUGUCUUUCUAGCUUGAGUGCAGAAGACAGCAGGUGUAGUAAGAUGUACUGAGCUGCUGGACAUCCCGCUCGGGGUCAAAAUCCCUUUGUUGCCUGGCUCCCACCCUGUCUUCUGCCAGACCAAGCUGGGGGAAAAGGUGGUUUGCACUCUGUGGGAGUUCAACGAAUACAGGCAGUAUCUGAUGACACUCAAAACAGAGGCUGACAAAAUGUGCCAGCGAGAACAAGUUUCUUGCCAUGACUGUGCAGAGGAUGGAGAAGCUUGAGGCCCUUGAAGAAGAGAAACGCCUCCUCCAGCAGGCUGAGCGAGACCAGAAGUCUUUACGUGAAGAGCUGCAUAGUGAAAUCCGGACUACGCUGAUAGGGACUACAAGGACAGAAGCCCAGGAGCUGGAAGAGGUGGCUGAGAGCAUGCUGGAGGAAGUGCUGGAGAGGGUGAAAGAGCUGGAUUGGCUGGUCCAUGUUUUAAGGAGGGCUCCACUGGCAAUCAGUGGAAGGUUGCUUGCUAGUGCUAGAAGGGCAGAGCCUUCUGAGACGACAUCUCCAGAUCUCCAGGAGGAAAUUGGACUGGUGGCUAGAGAGAUUGUAGCAACCGUUACUGAUGCCUUAGGGAAGCAUUUGGUAUGCAGUGCAUCAGAUGCCUCUGAGCCCAGGCUGUCGGCCGGGCAGAGGGAGCCGUACGUAGCCGCACGAGCCAGGUGAGCUGGCAAACUGGAAGAAAGCAGGCUGAGGGCAGCUGAAUUACCAGGCUAUAACAGCAACUUCUCUGGCGUCUCUUGACAAAAUCGCCAAAGAUGCUGUUGAGAGGGUUGGAUCCACCUUGGAAUCGUUUGUAGCUUUGCAAUUUGAACAUCACUUGCACUGUCAAUGUGCUGAAAUCCUGAAGCUGCCCCUUGAGACUAUUUCUAAGAGACAACUGCAGGCAUGCCGGACACCUUUCUCAACCCGAGCGAUGAAGGAAGUAGAAGCAUCAUGUAGAGCAUCCCAACACUGGACAGCAGAAGCCACAAGGUUGCCCGUGUUGCAACCAUUCCACAAUGUUGCUGCCGUAUCACGAGAGAGUAGCACGCUUGCAAGGCGUAGCAUCCAAAAUGCAAUGUCCCAAGUUCAGCAAGUCCAUUCAGAAGGAAAUGUGUAUGCUGCAAUUGUUGUCCAUGAUGCUCUGGAAACCCUGAAGCAGCAGCAGCAGAAGUUAGAAAAAGACAUGAAUGCAAAGGCAAGAUCCUUCAAGGACACUUCAGAAGAAAGCACCAUGGAGAGUGGGCUAGUGGAGUUGCUGUUAGAUCAAUGCGGUCAACCUCUGCCUGCUGUUGCUUCAGGAGUGAAUUGUGGGAGGCAGGUCGCAAAGCAGCCCAGCCCAAGAGAUGGGGAUGAGAGCUAUCCGAGACUGGGCUUCCUAAGGCCAAGAGGAAAGAGAAUUCCUGCUAGAAAAUUAGAGAGGAGUGAGCCAAGAAUGAAGCUCCCACCUAUCUGCAUCCCUGGAAUGGUCAUGCCUUCAGAGGCAGAAGCACACUUUGAAGAGGACCUGCCAUGUAAUUUCCUCCUGUCUGUUCUCCGAGGCUCUGAGCAAGAUGCUCAGGGCCCACCAGAAGGCAUUCAGAAGCCUCUGUGUUACCCCUCAGCACUCACAUCGAGACCUUACACUCCUGUGUUGGAACCCCUACCUGAACCAAGGCCAGGAAGCAUGUGAGACACCUUCCUGUCCGUGGGCCAACAGUUUUCCAGAAAGCCAAGCCCUCCAUUGGCUCCAAAGCUCCCUUCCUGUAGAGGAUCCUGGAAGAGACGCAUGCGUGUGAAGCUUGUGCCGUGCAAGCUGGAGCAAUGGGCGUCAGGAGCGAGGGCAUUAGCUGGGAGGCUGAUGCUGAGAAGUCACAGUCAGCAGGAGAAGUGAGGGAGAUGCUCGGACUCUUGAACAGUCAGUGGGGAAAAGAACAUGCAGGGAGCACAUCGCAGAGGACUGUGCUGCACACCACUCCUGCUGCCUUUCCCAGGCGGAACUCUCGGCACCCUGUGCUGCUCAUGCCCCUGUCGCUCCCUGGCUCCCUCUCAGCCACUGGGGCUGCUGCCGGUACCAACUUGCAUGUCAGCGGAGAACACGCCUCACUGUGUGGCACAGCCCCUCUGGCUGCCUGCCCAAGGGUCUUCCAACAGAGCUGCUGCCCACAGCCAGAGAGCCCCCAGGGAGGGCCUCCCCCCGGCCCCUCAUCCCCACUGAGAGCUUGUCUGGCCUCCCAACUUCAGAGCCACCACCUCCUGCAUAAGCGAUGCGGACAGUCUGGCCACCUGCUCCGUCUUCCACCUGUUGUGGGCACCGCAGAGGUUUGGCCACAGUGGGGGCAGGGACACCGGCAUCCUCUGGGGCUGGCGCCAUGCCCAGCAGCUGUGGCCACCUAAGCGAUAUUUUCAUGUGGCUCACAGACCUGGGGAGUUUAAUCUGGCAAGGGAUGUCAAGGAGAACAAGAAGGGCUUCUUUAAAUACAUCGGUAACAAAAGGAAAAGUAGGGGGAAAGGUGGGCCUGCUGCUGAAUGGGGAAGGGGCCUUCAGGACAGAGAAUACAGAAAAGGCCGAGGUACUGAAUGCCUUCCUUGCUUCAGUCUUUAACAUUAUGCACAGGCCAAGAAACCAAAACAACAAAGCUGUGCAAUGCAGACCUACACAGAAACAGUGUACAGGGACACCGGGGAAAAAGACAUGACCCCUGAUGUGAUCAUGCAGCCCUUGGCCUCAUGCUAGUGCAGAGCUGACCCCACAACACAGCGCUACUGCUCUGUUAAGGCACUACUGACAUGCCCCAGAUGAGCACAGUGUCCCUGUGGAGAUGGUGACCCCCACACUGUCCCUUCAGAGGCAUCCCCUCAUGACCCUUUAGGACUCACCGCUGGAAACAGAGAUGAGAUGAUCCUGGCCUCUGCUCCUCCUGGCAUCUCUCCUGCCCCACAGCCUCACUCUUCAGUGCCGUCCGUAGCUCUAGCAGCAGUGUUUCUUCCAAACGCUCCCCUCUGGCCCCAGUCUCACCCAGGCCCUUUCUGCAGUUUCUCUCUUCCUCCCAUCGCUAACUCCUCCCUCCAUCCCUCUCUCUCUACACCUCUUUUUGCUGAAAUCCCACAGAAAAUUAAUGGGGAUGGGGGAGGGGGGGAUGACUAGGACAGGAGAUAGCACACACUCUCACCGCCCUCAGCUCUCCCUAUGCCUCCUGAGGGAAAAGUUGACCAGGAAAACCUCAGGCAGAGAAGGCCCUGAGGGCCUCUGCCCUUUCCGUGGGGUUCAGUAUACUGAAUUAUUAACAGAUUUUGCCUUUCCAUUUUUCAUUUCUCUGCAGCAAAAAAUAGUGCACUCAGCUUUACACACUGCAUUUAUGAGGCAUCAUCUCCUCUCUGAAGUCUGGUUUCAAAGCUAGAAGUUGUGAAUGAAUACCUUCCUUUUGGAAAAGCUCUGAAGCAGGGAGUGUUUGAGGUAGAUUAAUGCAUGGGAGAGGAAGAGCUGCAAGUCACUGAACACUCUCAGGGUGGGAGAAAUCUUCACAGCCCUUGACACGUCUCUCAAGUCCAGAGGAAGCAAAUGUCCAACAGCAGCUCCUUCAAUGAGUUCCUCCUCCUGGCCUUCGUGGACAUGCGGGAGCUGCAGCUCUUGCACUUCUCACUCUUCCCGGGCAUCUACCUGGCUGCCCUCCUGGGAAAUGGACUCAUCAUCACAGUCGUAGCCUGAGACCACCGCCUCCACUCCCUAUGUACUUCUUCCUCCUCAAUCUAUCCCUCCUUGAUCUUGGCUCCAUCUCUACUACUGUCAGUGGGGAUGUAUGGAGCGCUGCCUGAGGAGAGGUGAGGGCUUAGCUGAGAGCAGGAUUAGUGGACAGACCAGCAGGGGUGACAUUGUAGUGGGUGUCUGCUGUUGACCACCUGGUCAGGAAGAAGAAGUAGCCGAGGCCUUCUUCAGAGAAUUGGAAGAAGCUUCCUGUUUGCAAGCCCCGGUCCUCAUGGGGACUUCAAGGCCCCUGAUAUAUGCUGGAGACACCCCACAGCAGGGCACAAGCAAUCCAGGAGGUUUCUGGUG